AGCGAACGCUGGCGGCAUGCCUAACACAUGCAAGUCGAACGAGACCUUCGGGUAUAGUGGCGCACGGGUGCGUAACGCGUGGGAACCUGCCCUUAGGUUCGGAAUAACUCCCCGAAAGGGGUGCUAAUACCGGAUAAUGUCUUCGGACCAAAGAUUUAUCGCCUUUGGAUGGGCCCGCGUUGGAUUAGCUAGUUGGUAGGGUAAAAGCCUACCAAGGCGACGAUCCAUAGCUGGUCUGAGAGGAUGAUCAGCCACACUGGGACUGAGACACGGCCCAGACUCCUGCGGGAGGCAGCAGUGGGGAAUAUUGGACAAUGGGCGAAAGCCUGAUCCAGCAAUGCCGCGUGAGUGAUGAAGGCCUUAGGGUUGUAAAGCUCUUUUACCCGGGAUGAUAAUGACAGUACCGGGAGAAUAAGCUCCGGCUAACUCCGUG
rnacentral:rRNA from 1 species